rnacentral:rRNA from 1 species
GACGAACGCUGGCGGCGUGCCUAAUACAUGCAAGUAGAACGCACAGUUUAUACCGUAGCUUGCUACACCAUAGACUGUGAGUUGCGAACGGGUGAGUAACGCGUAGGUAACCUGCCUGGUAGCGGGGGAUAACUAUUGGAAACGAUAGCUAAUAACGCAUAAUAUUGAUUAUUGCAUGAUAAUUAAUUGAAAGGUGCAAUUGCACCACUACCAGAUGGACCUGCGUUUUAUUAGCUAGUAGGUGAGGUAACGGCCCACCUAGGCGACGAUACAUAACUGACCGGUUACGGUGAUCGUCCACUAUGAGACUGAGACACGGCCCAGAUACCUACGGUAGGCAGCAGUAGGGGAGCUUCGGUAAUGGACGAAAGUGUGACCGAGCAUCGCCGCGUCAGUGAAGAAGGUUUUCGGAUCGUGAAGCUCUGUUUUAAGAGAAGAACGGGUGUGAUGGUGAAAAGUUCACUCUGUGACGGUAGCUUACCAGAAAGGGACGGCUAACUACGUG